AAACAUUCCAAAGAGAUUGAUUUUUCAACUCAAGAAACUGACAUGAGCCAUGAAGAAGGCAACAAAGCUAAUCUGAAAUCUGAGGCAGAGAAGGGAAUGCCGUUGGACCUGGAGGCUACCAAAGGAAACAUUGCAGCACCAGCAAAAGGAGCUAUAAGUGGAGGCUGCGGCAGUGGUUGUGGUAGUGGUUGCGGUAGUGUUAUGAGGAGUGGGGCCUGCGGCAGUUGUGGUGCUGGUUGUGGAAACAAAUUGGAGAGUGGUGGUUGUGGG
rnacentral:lncRNA from 1 species